rnacentral:misc_RNA from 1 species
GAUGAAGAACGUAGCGAAAUGCGAUAAGUAAUGUGAAUUGCAGAAUCCAGUGAAUCAUCGAAUCUUUGAACGCACAUUGCGCCCGCCAGCAUUCUGGCGGGCAUGCCUGUCCGAGCGUCAUUUCAACCCUCAAGCACUGCUUGGUGUUGGGGCGCUACGCGCUGAGCGUAGGCCCCUAAAAUCAGUGGCGGGCCUGCCGUGGCUCCGGGCGUAGUAGCAACACCUCGCCCCGGGACCGCGGUGCGCUCCGGCCGUUAAAACCCCCACUAUACUGAAGGUUGACCUCGGAUCAGGUAGGAAUACCCGCUGAACUUAAGCAUAUCAAUAAGCGGAGGA